GUGUGUGUGUGUGUGUGUGUGUGUGUGUGUGUGUGUGUGUGUGUGUUUGAUCAGCAGGAAGCGUGUGUGUGUAGACUGAAUACACCCCCAGUGGGCUUUGGGACCCUGAAGUUUUACCUGCUUUAGCUGUAACGAUACAUGAUGAGUAAGACAUGACAAAUACAUUGGCUUCGAACACUGCUUUAAUUUCCUGUCUUUGGUAUUAACACACUUACACACACACACACACACACACACACACACACAUAUGAACACACACACAUGCACGCAGAAACCCAAAUGUAAUAAAGCAAAGACUAUCACAGCCUAAUUCAUUCUAUAUUCAUUUUCAGGAAGUGGCAAUUUUUUUUUAUUACAAUUGAUAAUCUAUGCAAAUCUUUUAAAUAUUACUUUAAAUAAUCUACGUCUAUGCACUGCUUUUACAAUUGAUUCAAGGAAGACUGUCUUGGCCUAAUUUAGAAAAUGUAUUCUUUUGAUAAUCAUGCACAUCCCAGUGCUCAAGACAAUUACUUAUCUGCCUGGAUAGGCUUGAAAUUAUGUUUUUAAUCUCCAGUUAAGAAAAAAAAAAAAGUCACUCUUCUGAUAUCAGUCCAGAGGCAUGGAACCAUAAAUUAGACUGGUUAGACCUUUAAAUUCACAUUAAACAAAGUAUUCAGUGUGAGUUGUUUAUUGUUUAAUAUGAGUACCUAUCUUUGUGUGAUACAACUGAAACCCUGUGAGUGAGUGUUCACCCUGUGCCUUCUGCGUUGGAAUUGUAAUAAAAGUUUACAUUGAAAACAAAGGAAA